UACGGGGGGGGCAAGCGUUGUUCGGAAUUACUGGGCGUAAAGGGUUCGUAGGUGGCCAACUAAGUCAGACGUGAAAUCCCCAGGCUUAGCCUGGGAACUGCAUUCGAGACUGCAUUGCUAGAGUAUGGGAGAGGGAAGUGGAAUUUCCGGUGUAGCGGUGAAAUGCGUAGAUAUCGGAAGGAACAUCAGUGGCGAAAGCGACUUCCUGGACCAAUACUGACGCUCAUGUGCGAAAGCGUGGGGAGCAAACAGG
rnacentral:rRNA from 1 species